CGCGCGUGCUGUUUCCUCUCCUUGUGAAGGAUAUAAAACUCCGACCUGGCAUCCCACAGCUGAAGAGUACCAUGAAACGAAACAGCAUCUCCAAGGGAAAAGGCAGCUUGAGACCUGCGUUUGUCAAUGCCUGGCUCCAAAGCAGUGAGGACUUCUACUCACACAGAAGGACCUGGGAUCCAUAGGCAGGUUCCUGCUGGAGAGAAAGCAUGCCUCCAGGACCCUGCCCAAAUUGUAGACACCGGAGAGUUGACUGCAUCUCUUUGCCUCACUAAGGUAUCCACCCAGCUAGCAAUUAGGAUCCAGAAAUCAACCUCAUCUCUGCAAUUACUCCAAACCAAAGGCCUUCUGCUUACUAACUGCUGAAAGGGAGGCACUUACCUCUUCCUGGAAGAAUGCUGUUACUAUGUAAACCAGUCCAGCCAGGUGGAAAAAAGGAUUAAAGACUUCAUAAGAGGUGGGCUUGGGGGAUGCUUUGGCUUCCAGGGGUUAAUUCCUUUGCAGAAUUCUCAUUUUGGCCCCCUGGCUCUUACAU